GUCUCUUUAACUGUAAUGGCAGAGUGUCUAAUUGAAAAUUAGGAAAUCUAGGUUCAACCCCUGAUUGGUGAA
rnacentral:tRNA from 1 species